ensembl:antisense Gm15567 predicted gene 15567
GCCUUUAUUCGGAGGAAAGGAUCAGCACCCACCCCCACCCUCCAAUACACAGGCUGGAACCCGGGAAGAAGGCAGCUGGUAGAGGAGCAAGGGAGGCAAAGAGACGCCGAGCCUGGAGAUAAAUGUCUGCAAUUCCAGCUGAAGCAGAAGGAUUAGGAAUUCAGCACUGACUCGGGCUACACAGCGAGACCCUGCUCUUGGAAGACUUCCAGUAGUGCUGACUGUUACUGUCCUGUUAUUUGUACUUUGGACCUACAUGGCCUGUAGGUUUCCCUAUCAUGGUAUUAGUUCUGGCUCAUCUUUUUGGCCUAUUUAUAUUUUAGAAAGAUCCAUUAUAUGUGGAUGCAUGUUCUGCCUACAUGUAUUUCUGUGCACCACUUGCAUGCCUGGUGCCACAGAGCUAGAAGAGGGCAUUAUAAUCCCCUGGAACUGGAGUUACAGAUGAUUGUGAGCCACCACGUGGACGCUGGGAAGUGACUUAUGUCCUUCUGUAAGAUAACCACUGAGCCAUCCCUCCAGCCCCACUUUUUGCGUUUAUUAUGUAUUGUGUUAUUAUGUAUUACAUUAUGUGUGGCCCAUGUGCGGGGGUCAGAUGAUAUUCCUUCCCCUGCCUUCCUGGGGACUGACGUUAGGGUCGUCAGGCUUGGUAGCAAGCAUCUCUACCCACAGAGCCAUCUCUCUGGCCCUUGGGAAAAUGGUCUGUAUAGCAUCUAGCCAGUAUACCCUGAUGCAUAUCAUAAAGAACCAACCUGGUGGCUGGAGGCAUCAUACAGGAAGUUGGCCCAGUUGGGAUCAGUCUGCAUGAAUCUGAACUCAAACAGUUCCCGCAGACACAACCUCAGGAGCUGAAAGCAGAUCUGGAGGAACAAGAAGACAUGCCGGUGAGGUGUCCCGCCCGUCCUCCUGCCCGGGAAAGAAAGUGGGCGCCUGACUCUUCCUGGUCCCGUUCCACAAGGAGAUGUACCUGAUUCCGGAUGUCUUGGCUCAGGCCCUGGCACUGGUCUAGAGGGAUUCCCCCAGCCAGCUCCAUGCCCAGCACCCGUGUAGUGCAUAGCUCCUGCACCACAGCUGGCACUCGGAAGAAGGGGUCGUCAGCUAAGAGCUUCCUGGGACAGGAAAAGGGCGAGGGAUGAGAAAGACUUCAUGCUUUAGAGCCCAGAGGCUGUUUUACUGAGAAGCCCUGUAGGCCAUCUUGUUCUAGGCUUUCCUCCCCUCCCCUCCAAUCCCCUUCUCUGGCUUGGCUGCCUUGGGUGACAGCCAAUACCUGGCUGGGCUGGCAUUUAUCAGACACUGUAGAACUGUGUAGUCUUUUAACUGGGUGUAGCUGGAGACCCACUUACUACUUCCCUCCGACUAACCCUUCUGACCUUCUGGUUACUUGACGAUGAGCUCAGAGUAUUUUGUUCACACAUCACUUUAAAAAAUAGCUAUUUUAUGGCCAGUGAGAUGGCUUAAGAGGAUAAAGGCACUUGUCCCAAAGCAUAUGACCUGAGUCUGAUCCCAGGGCCCACAUAUUCUUAAAAGUUGUCCUCUGAUUCCCACAUAUGUGCAACAACAUGAACAACAUGUGUACACUGGCAUGUACACGCAUGUACACACACAUACUAAGUAAUAAACAUUAUAAAGUUUUUAUUGAAGAGUUUUUACUCUAUGGCUCUACAGUGAUAAUCACUGGUCAAUCCUUGGGGUCACUAGAGAAUCCUAUUCCAACAUUUCAGUUACUUGUGGUAAACCUUGGUCUAAAAAAUAUUAAAUGGAGAAUUCUAAGCUGGACAUGGUAGUGUGUGUCUAUAAACCUAGCAUUGGAAGAUGGAGGAAGGCGGUCUGGGCCUCAGAGCCAACUCCUGUGACACAGCAUGUUCUAGGCCAGCCAGGGUACAUAAGAUUCUGUUUCAAAAACAAUCAAGAGAAAAGGGGGCCAGGGCAUAGGGGCAGGUGGGCUGGAGAGGUGGCUUAGUGGUUAAGAGCACUGGCUGCUCUUACAGAGGACUUGGGUUCCCACAAUGGUGGCUCACAAUCUGUUAACUCCAGUUCCAGGAAAUCUGAUGCCCUCUUCUGGCCUCUGAGAGUACUGCAUGUACAUACACACAUACAAACAAGCAAAACAUCCAUCUAAUAAAAAGAAAUCUC